rnacentral:rRNA from 1 species
CAAUAGCGUAUAUUUAAGUUGUUGCAGUUAAAGAGCUCGUAGUUGGAUUUCGGGUGGGACGCAGCGGUCUCGCAUUGCGUUUGUACUGCUGCAGCCCUCCUUCUUGCCGGGGGCGGCCUCUCGGACUUCACUGUCUGGGGGUCAGAAUCGGCGAUGUUACUUUGAGUAAAUUAGAGUGUUCAAAGCAAGCUUACGCUCUGAAUAUAAUAGCAUGGGAUAACACGACAGGACUCUGGCCUAUCGUGUUGGUCUAUAGGACCAGAGUAAUGAUUAAGAGGGACAGUCGGGGGCAUUCGUAUUCCGUUGUCAGAGGUGAAAUUCUUGGAUUUACGGAAGACGAACAUCUGCGAAAGCAUUUGCCAAGGAUGUUUNCAUUGA